rnacentral:tRNA from 1 species
GGGACUGUUGCUCAGCAGUAGAGCAUCUGCUUAGAAUGCAGAAGGUCCCAGGUUCGAUUGCCGCCAUCUCCA